rnacentral:lncRNA from 1 species
AGGAAGCGCUGGGGGGCAGAGGAGCGGAGUUGAGGCAGAAGCCAGUCAGGAUGGUGGUGCCUUCGCUGAAGCUUCAGGACCUCAUCGAAGAGAUUCGCGGGGCCAAGACUCAGGCCCAGGAGCGGGAGGUGAUCCAAAAGGAGUGUGCCCACAUCCGGGCCUCCUUCCGCGACGGGGACCCAGUGCACAGGCACCGGCAGCUGGCCAAACUGCUCUACGUCCACAUGUUGGGCUACCCCGCCCACUUUGGACAGUGACCUGAGCCAGGGGAUUCAGCCAGUACAAGGCCUGGCCUUGUGCACUUUGAGCACCAUGGGCUCUGCUGAGAUGUGCCGAGACCUGGCCCCAGAGGUGGAGAAACUGCUCCUGCAGCCCAGUCCCUACGUGCGCAAGAAGGCUAUUCUGACUGCAGUGCACAUGAUCCGGAAGGUCCCUGAACUCUCCAGUGUCUUCCUCCCACCCUGUGCCCAACUGCUUCAUGAGCGUCACCAUGGUAAGGCUGUGGGGCCCCCCAUCCUUUGCUUCAGGUCUAUGGACAGAAGAAUUGAAAAUCGGAUGGGAACCCCAGCUCACAGGAGAAGGGUAGUGCACACACACAGGCACACACGCAAUAGACUCUCUUGCCCCUGGCCCCCACCAUUCACUUCCCCGACGCUGACCCCAGGCAUCCUGCUGGGCACCAUCACGCUGAUCACGGAGCUCUGCGAACGAAGCCCUGCAGCCCUCAGGCACUUCCGAAAGGUGGGCUGGUGAAGGGGCAGGCCCUGGGCCUGGAAGACAGGGUCAGUGGGGAAGGAAUGGGGCUUUAGCUGGAGAGGAUUAGAACGAAUGCCCAAAGUUGUGCCCUCCCUCCAGGUGGUACCCCAGCUGGUACACAUCCUCCGGACUCUGGUGACAAUGGGAUACUCCACAGAACACAGCAUAUCUGGAGUCAGCGACCCCUUCCUGCAGGUGGGGUGACCUUUCACUGCUGUAUCCCUGGAUCAGAGAGGGCAUAGCAGUAA